AUUGAACGCUGGCGGCAGGCUUAACACAUGCAAGUCGAGCGGGGUGAUGGUGCUUGCACUAUCACUUAGCGGCGGACGGGUGAGUAAUGCUUAGGAAUCUGCCUAUUAGUGGGGGACAACAUCUCGAAAGGGAUGCUAAUACCGCAUACGUCCUACGGGAGAAAGCAGGGGAUCACUUGUGACCUUGCGCUAAUAGAUGAGCCUAAGUCGGUUUAGCUAGUUGGUGGGGUCAAGGCCUACCAAGGCGAAGGUCGGUAGCGGGUCUGAGAGGAUGUUCCGCCACACUGGGACUGAGACACGGCCCAGACUCCUACGGGAGGCAGCAGUGGGGAAUAUCGGACAAUGGGGGGAACCCUGAUCCAGCCAUGCCGCGUGUGUGAAGAAGGCCUUAUGGUUGUAAAGCACUUUAAGCGAGGAGGAGGCUCUUUUGGUUAAUACCCAAGAUGAGUGGACGUUACUCGCAGAAUAAGCACCGGCUAACUCUGUGCCAGCAGCCGCGGUAA
rnacentral:rRNA from 1 species